rnacentral:rRNA from 1 species
AACGAACGCUGGCGGCAUGCCUAACACAUGCAAGUCGAACGAUGCCUUCGGGCAUAGUGGCGUACUGGUGCGUAACGCGGUGUAAUCUGCCUUUCGGCUCGGAAUAACUCAGGGAAAAUUGAGCUAAUACCGGAUAACGUCGCAAGACCAAAGGUUUAUCACCGAAAGAUGAGCCCGCGUAGGAUUAGCUAGUUGGUGAGGUAAAGGCUCACCAAGGCUACGACCCUUAGCUGGUCUGAGAGGAUGAUCAGCCACACUGGGACUGAGACACGGCCUCGACUCGGAGGGGAGGAAGCAGCGGGGAACAUGGGAAAACGGGCGCAACACCGGCACUGCAGGGCAGGGUAAGUGAUGAAGGCCUUAGGGUGCUAAAGAUAGUUCACGCGGGAAGUUUAUGACGGUACCGGGAGAAUAAGCCCCGGCUAACUACGUG